rnacentral:rRNA from 1 species
AACGGGAAGAACCUUACCUGGGCUNGANNGGAUUCUCAACGNCGGGUAGAAAUNCAUGGUACCCCGCAAGGGGGUGGAGUCGAGGUGCUGCAUGGCUGUCGUCAGCUCGUGUCGUGAGAUGUUGGGUUAAGUCCCGCAACGAGCGCAACCCUUGUCCUGUGUUGCCAUCAUUCAGUUGGGAACUCGCAGGAGNCCGCCAGCGAUAAGCUGGAGGAAGGUGGGGAUGACGUCAAGUCCUCAUGGCCUUUAUGUCCAGGGCUACACACGUGCUACAAUGGACGGUACAAACCGCAGCAAACCCGCGAGGGGGAGCCAAUCGGAAAAAACCGUUCUCAGUUCGGAUUGCAGGCUGCAACUCGCCUGCAUGAAGCUGGAAUCGCUAGUAAUGGCAGAUCAGCACGCUGCCGUGAAUACGUUCCCGGGUCUUGUACACACGC